rnacentral:rRNA from 1 species
GAUGAACGCUGGCUACAGGCUUAACACAUGCAAGUCGAGGGGAAACGACGGGGAAGCUUGCUUCCCCGGGCGUCGACCGGCGCACGGGUGAGUAACGCGUAUCCAACCUGCCUCUGACUGAGGGAUAACCCGUCGAAAGUCGGCCUAAUACCUCAUGGCAUCGUCUGCGGGCAUCCAACGACGAUUAAAGAUUUCAUCGGUCAGAGAUGGGGAUGCGUCUGAUUAGCUUGUUGGCGGGGUAACGGCCCACCAAGGCGACGAUCAGUAGGGGUUCUGAGAGGAAGGUCCCCCACAUUGGAACUGAGACACGGUCCAAACUCCUACGGGAGGCAGCAGUGAGGAAUAUUGGUCAAUGGGCGAGAGCCUGAACCAGCCAAGUAGCGUGCAGGAGGACGGCCCUAUGGGUUGUAAACUGCUUUUAUGCGGGGAUAAAGUGAGGGACGUGUCCUUCAUUGCAGGUACCGCAUGAAUAAGAACCGGCUAAUUCCGUG